rnacentral:rRNA from 1 species
UACGUAGGGUGCGAGCGUUGCCCGGAUUUAUUGGGCGUAAAGGGCGCGUAGGCGGUCACGCACGUCCGUUGUGAAAUCGCUCGGCUCAACUGGGCGGGGUCAGCGGAUACGGCGUGGCUGGAGCAAGCUAGGGGGUAAUGGAAUUCCCGGUGUAGUGGUGGAAUGCGUAGAUAUCGGGAGGAACACCAGUGGCGAAGGCGGUUACCUGGAGCUUUGCUGACGCUGAUGCGCGAAAGCGUGGGGAGCGAUCCGG